rnacentral:rRNA from 1 species
UACGGGGGGAGCAAGCGUUGUUCGGAUUUACUGGGCGUAAAGGGCGCGUAGGCGGUCGUGACAAGUCACUUGUGAAAUCUCCGGGCUUAACUCGGAACGGUCAAGUGAUACUGUCGGACUAGAGUACGGAAGAGGCGAGUGGAAUUCCCGGUGUAGCGGUGAAAUGCGCAGAUAUCGGGAGGAACACCUAUUGCGAAGGCAGCUCGCUGGGACGUCACUGACGCUGAGACGCGAAAGCGUGGGGAGCAAACAGG